rnacentral:lncRNA from 1 species
AUCCGGUCGCGGAACAUGGAUCCAUCAGACCCUCCCCUUUGAUGUGGCAUCGAGGGAUGGGGUAGAGACUCGGGAUGGCGAAGGGCCCGACGAGGGCGGGUGAGGUGGUGCAGCACCGAUGGAUGGGGCCGACACCAGCGGGCGAGGUGGUGGUCGGGGCCACGGUCGGCGCGCGAGGUAGAGGCCUGGCCAGGGAACGACGCAGGGCCGACGGUGACAGGGGUCGAAGACGGCAGACGCGAAGGGUCGGUAGGGGCGACGGCGAUGGGGCGGGGCUGUUGGUGGUGGCCGGGCUAGGGCCGGUGGGCGAGGUGGUGGCCGGGGCCACGACCGGCGGGCGAGGAAGAGGCCUCGCCAGGGAAUGUGGUGGGGGCCGGUGGAGGCAGGGGUUGGUGGCGAUAUUGGGGAUGGGGUG